GUGACAGGCAGCUCCAGACAACGAGGUUUAAUGGUGGUCAAGGGUGGGUGGGGCCCGGACACCUGGGUCCCUCGGACACCUGGGUCCCUCAGACACUUGGGUUCCUCAGACACUCGGGUUCCUCAGACGCUUGGGUUUCUUGGACGCUUGGGUCCCUCGGACACUUGGGUUCCUCAGACGCUUGGGUUCCUUGGACACCUGGGUUUCUUGGACACUUGGGUUUCUCGGACACUCGGGUUUCUCGGACACUCGGGUUCCUCAGACGCUUGGGUUUCUUGGACACUUGGGUCCCUCAGACGCUUGGGUUCCUGGGACACUUGGGUUUCUUGGACACUUGGGUUUCUCGGACACUUGGGUUCCUCAGACGCUUGGGUUCCUCAGACACUUGGGUUUCUUGGACACUUGGGUUUCUCGGACACUCGGGUUCCUCAGACACUUGGGUUCCUUGGACACUUGGGUCCCUCGGACACCUGGGGGACAAGGAGGGGACCCAGGUGUCUGGGUCACCCAUGGGUAGCAGGGACCCAGGUGUCCUGGCCCCACAGGGACAAGGAGGGGGCCCAGGCGUCCGGGUCACUGGCGGGGGGGUUCGGGGGUGCCGAGCCCCGCGAGCAGGCGAGCGACCUCGUCCCGGAGCUUCUCCUCCUGCGCCGCCGUGUCCGUCGCGAACUGCGACCCUGGGGGCAGAGGUCGGGGGUCGCUGGGGGCCGGGGGCCACCCAGGUUUGGGGGUCCCCCAUGGGGGGGGGCGUGGUUUGGGGGUUUUGGUUUUGGGGUCCCCCCCAUUGGGUUGGGGUUGGGUUUUGGGGUCCCCAGUUGGGUCACGUUGGGUUUGGGGGUCCCCCAGGUGGGUCACGUUCAGGUUCGGGGUUGA
rnacentral:lncRNA from 1 species